rnacentral:lncRNA from 1 species
UUUAUUAUCAAUUGCUUUUAAAGUUAAAUUCAGUUCAGUUAAAUUAUUUUAGUAGCAUGUUAUAUUUUUAUUACAUGUUUCAGUAUAAUUAAAGUUAUUUCUAAAAACCACCAGAAAGUAUCCAGGUGAUUUUACCCCAGUUUGCACCGAUGUGAAUGUGUUUCCACAGUGUAUGACUAGUUAUAGUGAUUUUACCCGCUCUGCACUAUCGUGAAUGUGUUUCCAUAGUGUAUGACUAUAUUAUCAGAGGUCUUUGGGACCCACUCUUGUACACACAUAGGCUUUGGGCCGUGUACUAGGGUGAUUAGCCUUUGGGGCAGCUCUGCGUACGUAUGACCAGAUUAUCAGAUUAUUAGCUAUCAGAUUAUUAGAUUUGAAUAGUUUUGCCUUGUACAUCGAGAUUACUUUGUACAUGUGUAGGCUAUGCAUUGGGUAUUCUUUUUGGUGUGAUUUUUUAGUAUUUAUUCAGUUCUCAGAUUUCAGAUUUGGAAUUCAGUUAAUUCAGUUUUCAGAAUAAAGCUUUCAGUUUCUAGUAUUGAGCAGCAGCAAUAUUUCAUAGAUUUUCAUGAAUAUCAGAUUUUUUAUAUUUGUUAUAUCUUACAGAUACUUAUCUAGAAUUUAGAACAAAGAAUUUUAUGAUGUAUUCAUGUUUGAUUGUAAAAAAUGUUACCAGAUUUCAGAAUUUCUUAAAGUUUCAAUAGAGCAAGGAUUUUUAGAAAAUAUGCAUAAAUGGAAAAAGUUUACUUAUUUGCAAAUCAUCCACUCACUGAGUUACAGGCUCACAUUUUUUUUUUUUACAAUUUCUCUUAUCAGAUAGUAGCUGAGUUGAGUACUACUGGGCCAGUUGAUCUAUCGAGUUGAACUAUAAAUUGUUACGCAUUGUAUGACUCAUCUUAUCUGUUUAAUAGCUCAUAUUUUGGAAUAGACAUCUCUUUUGGUCAGAAAUUAGUUCCAUGUUUUGGGCCUGCUAUGUUUUGUAUAUAUUAUGCAUUUUGGGUACUGUGAUUUAUAAAUUGUUGCAAAGGUUAAAUUGCCAGUGAUGUAUUUGAAUAGUUGAUUUUCUGUGAG